rnacentral:rRNA from 1 species
CCCUUAGAUGUUCUGGGCCGCACGCGUGCUACACUGAAUAAUUCAAUGGGUAAGGGAACGCUAGAGCAUUACCUAAUCUUGAAAUUUGCUCGUGAUGGGGAUCGACGGUUGCAAUUUUCCGUCGUGAACGAGGAAUACCUUGUAGGCGCAUGUCAUCAUCAUGCGCCGAAUACGUCCCUGCCCUUUGUACACACCGCCCGUCGCUCCUACCGAUUGAGUGAUCCGGUGAGGCUCUGGGACCUGGACGGAAAGAGCGUUUCGCUUGUUCUGUUUGGGAAACUUGGUCGAACCUUAUCAUUUAGAGGAAGGAGAAGUCGUAACA